rnacentral:rRNA from 1 species
AUUGAACGCUGGCGGCAGGCCUAACACAUGCAAGUCGAGCGGUAGCACAGAGAGCUUGCUCUCGGGUGACGAGCGGCGGACGGGUGAGUAAUGUCUGGGAAACUGCCUGAUGGAGGGGGAUAACUACUGGAAACGGUAGCUAAUACCGCAUAAUGUCGCAAGACCAAAGUGGGGGACCUUCGGGCCUCAUGCCAUCAGAUGUGCCCAGAUGGGAUUAGCUAGUAGGUGGGGUAAUGGCUCACCUAGGCGACGAUCCCUAGCUGGUCUGAGAGGAUGACCAGCCACACUGGAACUGAGACACGGUCCAGACUCCUACGGGAGGCAGCAGUGGGGAAUAUUGCACAAUGGGCGCAUGCCUGAUGCAGCCAUGCCGCGUGUGUGAAGAAGGCCUUCGGGUUGUAAAGCACUUUCAGCGGGGAGGAAGGCGGUGAGGUUAAUAACCUCAUCGAUUGACGUUACCCGCAGAAGAAGCACCGGCUAACUCCGUGCCAGCCGCCGCCGUAA